UUUGACAGGAUGUUUGGUGAAAAUAGGUUGCGUGUCGGAGAGCUGUUCUCCGUUAUCAACGGGCAAAACAAAUUAAAUGCUAACAAUAAUGUAAUCGAAGGUAAAUUCGGCGCUGACAGAAUUUCUGCUAUCGCUGCAUAAUCUUUGACGAUAUAGCUCCUCAUAAAGCCCAGCUUGCCGGUUUUAUGGGGCCAUUAUGCAAGACGCAGUACGUUAAUACAAAGUAGACGUAUCAAGAUAACUUUGUAAGGUUUAGAGUUUCCUUUAAAUAAAACCUAGGAUUGAUUUGUCGGGUUUCAGUUACUUUCCUGAAUCAGUCGAGAAAAUAAGUAAAUACACACGUAGAUAUUUAUUUUUAUCCAUUUUGGACAGGGGUUCAACUCCCCUCGUCUCCACCA
rnacentral:tmRNA from 1 species